rnacentral:rRNA from 1 species
UACGAAGGGGGCUAGCGUUGCUCGGAAUCACUGGGCGUAAAGGGUGCGUAGGCGGGUCUUUUAAGUCAGGGGUGAAAUCCUGGAGCUCAACUCCAGAACUGCCUUUGAUACUGAGGAUCUUGAGUUCGGGGAGAGGUGAGUGGAACUGCGAGUGUAGAGGUGAAAAUUCGUAGAUAUUCGCAAGAACACCAGUGGCGAAGGCGGCUCACUGGCCCGAUACUGACGCUGAGGCACGAAAGCGUGGGGAGCAAAGCAGG